GGAUCAAUUUGCUGGUCGCGCCUCUGGUACGUACUGGUAUUAUUGAUUUCUCCCUUCUGACGAACCAUGAUGUCAUUAAUUUGGUGUCAUGGGGAAUUAGGACUGUUACUUUGAAAAAAUUAGAGUGUUUAAAGCAGGCUCACGCUUGAAUACAUUAAUGGAAUAAUGAAAUAGGAUGUUUGAUUCUAUUUUGUUGGUUUCUAGGAUCGACAUA
rnacentral:rRNA from 1 species